rnacentral:rRNA from 1 species
UCGUAACAAGGUUUCCGUAGGUGAACCUAGCGGAAGGAUCAUUA